rnacentral:rRNA from 1 species
UGGGGAAUUUUGCACAAUGGGGGAAACCCUGAUGCAGCGACGCCGCGUGAUUUAGAAGGCCUUCGGGUUGUAAAAAUCUUUUGUAUGGGAAGAAAAUGACAGUACCAUACGAAUAAGGACCGGCUAAUUACGUGCCAGCAGCCGCGGUAAUACGUAAGGUCCGAGCGUUGUCCGGAAUCAUUGGGCGUAAAGGGUACGUAGGCGGAUAAGCAAGUUAGAAGUGAAAUCCUAUAGCUCAACUAUAGUAAGCUUUUAAAACUGCUCAUCUUGAGGUAUGGAAGGGAAAGUGGAAUUCCUAGUGUAGCGGUGAAAUGCGCAGACAUUAGGAGGAAUACCGGUGGCGAAGGCGACUUUCUGGCCAUAUACUGACGCUGAGGUACGAAAGCGUGGGUAGCAAACAGG